AUGCAAACAAAAGUCUAUUUCAUUACACAAUGUGUGCUGAUGAAAGAAAAUCUGUGAAGGUAAAUGUAUGUACUUGUUUUAAUCCAAACCACAGGGAAUACCCAAGCAGGCAGGUGGGAACAACUGUGGAAUCUACAUACUGAUGGAUGACAUGCCCCUGAUCAGGAGGUGGUGGUGUGCUUUCUUACUGGACAACUUCACUCUGCAAAUCGCUCAACCUUACAAAAGGCAAUGUCUUCGGGGAGAUUCAGACAAAGCAGCUAAUUUAUUGUAC